UGUAGUCGUGCCUGGUAGGCAAAUCCGCCGGGCUUAGAUGAGGGGUGAUAACGAGUCUGCUUGCAGACGAAGUGAGUGAUACCCUGCUUCCAGGAAAAGCCACUAAGCUUCAGCUAUUGACGACCGUACCGCAAACCGACACUGGUGCGCGAGAUGAGUAUUCUAAGGCGCUUGAGAGAACUCAGGAGAAGGAACUCGGCAAAUUGAUACCGUAACUUCGGGAGAAGGUAUGCCCCAAGUAGGUGAACUCGUACAGAGGGAGCCCAACGGGGUUGCAAAAAAUCGGUGGCUGCGACUGUUUAAUAAAAACACAGCACUCUGCAAACACGAAAGUGGACGUAUAGGGUGUGACGCCUGCCCGGUGCUGGAAGAUUAAAUGAUGGGGUGCAAGCUCUUGAUUGAAGUCCCAGUAAACGGCGGCCGUAACCAUAACGGUCCUAAGGUAGCGAAAUUCCUUGUCGGGUAAGUUCCGACCUGCACGAAUGGCGUAACGAUGGCCACACUGUCUCCUCCUGAGACUCAGCGAAGUUGAAAUGUUUGUGAUGAUGCAAUCUCCCCGCGGAAAGACGGAAAGACCCCAUGAACCUUUACUGUAGCUUUGUAUUGGACUUUGAACAGAUCUGUGUAGGAUAGGUGGGAGGCUUUGAAGUGAGGACGCUAGUUCUCAUGGAGCCAACGUUGAAAUACCACCCUGGUGUGUUUGAGGUUCUAACCUAGGUCCAUUAUCUGGAUCGGGGACAGUGCAUGGUAGGCAGUUUGACUGGGGCGGUCUCCUCCCAAAGCGUAACGGAGGAGUUCGAAGGUACGCUAGUUACGGUCGGACAUCGUGACGAUAGUGCAAUGGCAUAAGCGUGCUUAACUGCGAGACUGACAAGUCGAGCAGAUGCGAAAGCAGGACAUAGUGAUCCGGUGGUUCUGUAUGGAAGGGCCAUCGCUCAACGGAUAAAAGGUACUCUGGGGAUAACAGGCUGAUACCGCCCAAGAGUUCAUAUCGACGGCGGUGUUUGGCACCUCGAUGUCGGCUCAUCUCAUCCUGGGGCUGUAGCCGGUCCCAAGGGUAUGGCUGUUCGCCACUUAAAGAGGUACGUGAGCUGGGUUUAAAACGUCGUGAGACAGUUUGGUCCCUAUCUUCCGUGGGCGCUGCAGAUUUGAGGAAGCCUGCUCCUAGUACGAGAGGACCGGAGUGGACACACCUCUGGUGUAUCGGUUGUCACGCCAGUGGCAUUGCCGAGUAGCUAAGUGUGGAAGAGAUAACCGCUGAAAGCAUCUAAGCGGGAAACUCGUUUCAAGAUGAGAUCUGCCGGGGCCUUGAGCCCCCUAAAGAGUCGUUCAAGACCAGGACGUUGAUAGGCUGGGUGUGGAAGC
rnacentral:rRNA from 1 species